GUCUUCUCAUUGAGCUCCUUUCUGUCAGCUGGUGGCAGAUUAUGGAUUCGCACGAGAAGAAGAGAAAGUUCACAGAACUAGCACUUUAAAUCUUCUGUUUUUGCAGAGGUUUAUUUGGCUGUUGUGUGAGACAUUC
ensembl:snoRNA SNORA75 Small nucleolar RNA SNORA75